GCCUCACUCUGCCUCUUUAUUUAUUUAUUUAUCAUUAUUAACAGCAGCAACAGCAACAUUAACAAUGGCAGCCACCACUUAAUAACUCUUCUUUGGCAAGCUGUAUACAUUUCACUGGAGAAGGAAAUGGCAACCCACCCCAGUAUUCUUGCCUGGAAAAUCCCAUGGACAGAGGAGCCUGGUGGGCUGCAGUCCAUGGGGUCGCAAAGACACGACUGAGCAACUAACACACAUACAUUUCAUUUGCAGUCCCUCAUUCAAUUCUUUCACCAGCCCUUCAGGAUGAGCAUUAUUAUCCCCAUUUCUCAGCAAAGGAGCCUAAGGCUCUGAGUGUCAGUGACUCACCAUGGCCUUGUGACUUGAAUGUAUGAGUUUAGUGGAGCCUUUCUGAUUCCCAUGCCCUUGGAUUUUUUGCCAAUUGUUUCUCUGUUUCAAGAACCAAGCCCAGACCUUGUAUCUUGGGGAUGCUAAGUAGCCAAGAUUUGUCUCUUUCCCCUGGCAAAAUCUCCCCAGAAGGAGAGGGCCUCUUGCUCCAGUAUGCUACAGCCAACUUCUGCUCCCAGUCACCAGAAUCCCUGACCAACCUAGACCACAUGCUACAGCUGUGUGUACAGGCCCUCCUGGAGGCUGCCAUGGGCUCACAGGCACCCGUUCUCCCACUGCAGCUUCCAACCUGUUCUCAGCAGGACACAGGCUCCCAAGGCUCACCACAUGGCCUGGGAAUCCUUAGAUUGUGAAUUCAAGCAGGGGGCUCAUGAGGGAACCUGUACUUCUUACACCUAUCCAAGAAGGAAGAAAAUACAGAGGUGACCUACUACCCUCUAAAAUCCCAGAGUCCUCAAUAAAAGUGUGAAAGGAGA